CCGAUACAAUGAUGAUAACAUAGUUCAGCAGAAUACACAGUGAUGAACACAACUUUGUCUUUCGCUCCUAUCUGAUGUAUCUG
ensembl:snoRNA